rnacentral:rRNA from 1 species
CACGUAGGGUGCGAGCGUUGUCCGGAAUUAUUGGGCGUAAAGAGCUCGUAGGCGGUUUGUCGCGUCUGCUGUGAAAACCUCAGGCUCAACCUGGGGCUUGCAGUGGGUACGGGCAGACUAGAGUGCGGUAGGGGUGACUGGAAUUCCUGGUGUAGCGGUGGAAUGCGCAGAUAUCAGGAGGAACACCGAUGGCGAAGGCAGGUCACUGGGCCGCAACUGACGCUGAGGAGCGAAAGCAUGGGGAGCGAACAGG